GACGAACGCUGGCGGCGUGCCUAAUACAUGCAAGUCGAGCGGAGUUGUUCCUUCGGGGACAGCUUAGCGGCGGACGGGUGAGUAACACGUAGGUAACCUGCCCACAAGACUGGGAUAACGUCCGGAAACGGAUGCUAAUACCGGAUACGUCGAUCUCUCGCAUGAGGGAUCAUGGAAAGGCGGAGCAAUCUGCCGUUUGUGGAUGGGCCUGCGGCGCAUUAGCUAGUUGGUGGGGUAACGGCUCACCAAGGCGACGAUGCGUAGCCGACCUGAGAGGGUGAUCGGCCACACUGGGACUGAGACACGGCCCAGACUCCUACGGGAGGCAGCAGUAGGGAAUCUUCGGCAAUGGGCGAAAGCCUGACCGAGCAACGCAGCGUGAGUGAAGAAGGCUUUCGGGUCGUAAAACUCUGUUGUAUGGGAAGAACAGCUAGAAUAGGAAAUGAUUUUAGUUUGACGGUACCAUACCA
rnacentral:rRNA from 1 species